rnacentral:RNase_P_RNA from 1 species
AAUGGUGAGUAGUCGCGGUUCCUUUAUAGGAGCUGAGGAAAGUCCAGGCUCGCACAGUGCUGAGAUGCCUGUAGUGUUCGUGCCAUCUGCAAGGGUGGGCAGCCAAUCUUGAUAUUGGCUGACGGCGGUGAAAUCAUGCUAAGUCUCUAGGGAUAUGCUGAGAAUAGCCUGAAAGUGCCACAGUGACGAUGCUUUUCUGGAAACGGAAAAGGUGGAACGGGUAAACCCCACGAGCGAGCAACCCAAAUUUUGGUCGGGGCACCAUCCCGCGGGAAAUGAACCUAACGGAUGGAUCAACCAAUCGUUGAUAGAUAGAUGACUACUGCUUCCUGUACGAGGCUUGACGCUGUUUGCAGUACGGAAGUACAAAACCUGGCUUACAGCC